UACUAAUUUUCAAAGUUAGGAUUGACUCAA
rnacentral:piRNA from 1 species